rnacentral:rRNA from 1 species
GACGAACCAUCCUAACGUUGUUCGGAAUCACUGGGCUUAAAGGGCGCGUAGGCGGGUUCCCAAGUCGGUGGUGAAAUCUUUCGGCCCAACCGGAAAACAGCCGCCGAUACUGGGAGUCUUGAGGGAGGUAGGGGUCGAUGGAACUUCCGGUGGAGCGGUGAAAUGCGUAGAUAUCGGAAGGAACGCCGGUGGCGAAAGCGAUCGACUGGACCUUUUCUGACGCUGAGGCGCGAAAGCCAGGGGAGCAAACAGG